rnacentral:rRNA from 1 species
ACGGGAGGCAGCAGUGAGGAAUAUUGGUCAAUGGACGGAAGUCUGAACCAGCCAAGUAGCGUGAGGGAUGACUGCCCUAUGGGUUGUAAACCUCUUUUGUCGGGGAAUAAAGUGUGCCAUGUAUGGUAUUUUGCAUGUACCCGUCGAAUAAGGAUCGGCUAACUCCGUGCCAGCAGCCGCGGUAAUACGGAGGAUCCGAGCGUUAUCCGGAUUUAUUGGGUUUAAAGGGUGCGCAGGCGGCUUUUUAAGUCAGUGGUUAAAUCGUGACGCUCAACGUCAUCACGCCAUUGAUACUGGAGAGCUUGAUUGCGGUCGAGGUUUGCGGAAUUCGUUGUGUAGCGGUGAAAUGCAUAGAUAUGACGAAGAACACCGAUUGCGUAGGCAGCAGACCAGGCCGUAAAUGACGCUCAUGCACGAAAGUGCGGGGAUCGAACAGGAUUAGAUACCCUGGUA